ACAACCUUCCCCAACCCACAGCCCGUGCUUGCUGGGUUGAUUUUGACUAAGAGUUUCCUUUUCUCCUUCUCCCAGGCUCCCUCUGCCUUGGGAAGCUGUGGAUCUCUGUGACGGGAGUUUGUUUUUUUCCAACUACACCAGGACUCAUCUGAACGGCUGCAAAACCGGAGGUCACUGCCAAAUCUAAACCACGGCAGUGUGCGAUAGGCUCAAAAUGAGCUGCUCCAGUACUUUAAUACGUACCAACAAUUGGCUAUGUUAUGGAAUCCACGAUGUGGCCUUCACUGUUGACCUCUGCAAC